rnacentral:lncRNA from 1 species
GAAGGUCCAUCCGUCCCUCACCAUUGCACAGAUUUCUCGGAGCAAAGGGUGAACACAACCAUUACCCCUUGGGCCUCUCUGGAUCCAACUGAUGACCGUGGCCAAGUUCCCCUCUAGGACAAUGGAGCUGGCUCGUAAAACACACCGAGUGUCACACCCUUGAAAAAGUCGGAAUGGAGUAACCAAAUUUUUCUUGAGUUCUCCCUCUUUUCGGUGUGCGGCACCAAGUCUUGGCCUUGCCCAAGCCCUUGGUCAGCCUCCUUGUGCAAUCCGGGGUAGGAUCGACCCCCUAAGCACACCUUGGUUUGGCUCUAGAACAGCCACCAAGUCCCCCACUUCUCAAAGUCUUGCCUAAGUCCUUUACCUUAGACAACUCCCCCAAGACUAGGUAGAUAACUAGGUUAGAAGGCCCCUCGCUGAUUUUACUCACUUCAGCCCUUCUAAACCCUGUGGACAACUCCUUUUGCCCCAGCCAAGACCCCUUUGGCCGUGGGAAACCUUCACCUUGCUUCUUUCUUUGGACCCCCACACAAGACCUCUCAUCUCACCUCUUUUCAGCCUCUUUUGGCUACACUUAGGACCUUCCCAAAUGCCCCAAACUCCUCAGCCCAAGAUGCCCCCAAAAAGGCUCCUUGUGGACUCCAAACGCAUGGCUAGGCUACCUUUCUUUCCCAUGAACACACAACAUAUUGCACACGAGGAUAAGGGGAAAGGGUCAUGUAUUUCUCACACAAAUACAUCCAAUUUGCCCUCACAAGCCGAGGGACAUAGCCAACAUACUUCCCAAGUAUAUGACUCCUUUAAGACCCUAAAAACCCCUCCCGUCCAAGAGCCGCUCUUGGCCGGCGGGAUACAUUUGCCUUCUUCCCAAGAACCAAAU